UGUCAGUUUGAAAACAUUCUUUCUAUUCUCAUUUGUGUACAGAUCAGAAAUCAGCAGCCAAGAAGUUACUAGCACGUCCAAAUCGGAAGCUAGUACCCACUCAGAAAUCAGCAGUAACUAAUAAUUCCUCGGGAAGACAAUGGAUAACAUCAAGGGUCUUACAGAGAUGGAAAAUGAAAACACUGCCUUUCCUACUCUGGUCACAGCUAGAGGAAACAAUAAACUGAUCAUGGACCAAUUUGCAUGUCUCUUUCUCUUUUCCACUUCCUCCAACUCAUUGUUCAACACACGAAACUACACAUCAGCCAUUUCAGUAAUGGAGGACAGCAUUCCAAAAUGGGCAUCGCUAGUCCUUU